rnacentral:rRNA from 1 species
GAGGGCGUGCACUGAUUUUUAGGGCGCAGUAUCUUAACUGUGCAAAGGUAGCAUAAUCAUUAGUUUUUUAAUUGAAAGCUGGAAUGAAUGGUUUGAUGAAAAAAUUUCUGUUUCAAUAUUAAUUUUUUAAAACUUUAUUUUUAAGUUAAAAAGCUUAAAUUUAUAUAAAAGACGAGAAGACCCUAUAGAGUUUAAUUGAUUAAUAAAUAUUUAAAUUUAGUAUUAAUUUUUAUAUAUUUAUUUGUUAAUUUAAUUGGGGUGAUUAAAAAAUUUAAUAAACUUUUUUUAAAUUUUUACAUUAAUAUAUGAAUAUAUGAUCCAUAGAAAUGAUUAAAAGAAU